rnacentral:rRNA from 1 species
AGUCGAGCCAACGGAUGAGAAGCUUGCUUCUCUGAUGUUAGCGGCGGACGGGUGAGUAACACGUGGAUAACCUACCUAUAAGACUGGGAUAACUUCGGGAAACCGGAGCUAAUACCGGAUAAUAUUUUGAACCGCAUGGUUCAAAAGUGAAAGACGGUCUUGCUGUCACUUAUAGAUGGAUCCGCGCUGCAUUAGCUAGUUGGUAAGGUAACGGCUUACCAAGGCAACGAUGCAUAGCCGACCUGAGAGGGUGAUCGGCCACACUGGAACUGAGACACGGUCCAGACUCCUACGGGAGGCAGCAGUAGGGAAUCUUCCGCAAUGGGCGAAAGCCUGACGGAGCAACGCCGCGUGAGUGAUGAAGGGUUUCGGCUCGUAAAACUCUGUUAUUAGGGAAGAACAUACGUGUAAGUAACUGUGCACGUCUUGACGGUACCUAAUCAGAAAGCCACGGCUAACUACGUGCCAGCAGCCGCGGUAAUACGUAGGUGGCAAGCGUUAUCCGGAAUUAUUGGGCGUAAAGCGCGCGGUAGGCGUUUAUUAAGUCUGAUGUGAAAGCCCACGGCUCAACCGUGGAGGGUCAUUGGAAACUGGAAAACUUGAGUGCAGAAGAGGAAAGUGGAAUUCCAUGUGUAGCGGUGAAAUGCGCAGAGAUAUGGAGGAACACCAGUGGCGAAGGCGACUUUCUCGUCUGUAACUGACGCUGAUGUGCGAAAGCGUGGGAAUCAAACAGGAUUAGAUACCCUGGUAGUCCACGCCGUAAACGAUGAGUGCUAAGUGUUAGGGGGUUUCCGCCCCUUAGUGCUGCAGCUAACGCAUUAAGCACUCCGCGUGGGGAGUACGACCGCAAGGUUGAAACUCAAAGGAAUUGACGGGGACCCGCACAAGCGGUGGAGCAUGUGGUUUGCUUCGAAGCAACGCGAAGAACCUUACCAAAUCUUGACAUCCUUUGACAACUCUAGAGAUAGAGCCUUCCCCUUCGGGGGACAAAGUGACAGGUGGUGCAUGGUUGUCGUCAGCUCGUGUCGUGAGAUGUUGGCUUAAGUCCCGCAACGAGCGCAACCCUUAAACUUAGUUGCCAGCAUUUAGUUGGGCACUCUAGGUUGACUGCCGGUGACAAACCGGAGGAAGGUGGGGAUGACGUCAAAUCAUCUUGCCCCUUAUGAUUUGGGCUACACACGUGCUACAAUGGACAAUACAAAGGGCAGCUAAACCGCGAGGUCAUGCAAAUCCCAUAAAGUUGUUCUCAGUUCGGAUUGUAGUCUGCAACUCGACUACAUGAAGCUGGAAUCGCUAGUAAUCGUAGAUCAGCAUGCUACGGUGA